rnacentral:rRNA from 1 species
AUUGAACGCUGGCGCCAUGCCUUACACAUGCAAGUCGAACGGUAACAGGUCUUCGGAUGCUGACGAGUGGCGAACGGGUGAGUAAUACAUCGGAACGUGCCCGAGAGUGGGGGAUAACGAAGCGAAAGCUUUGCUAAUACCGCAUACGAUCUCAGGAUGAAAGCAGGGGACCGCAAGGCCUUGCGCUCACGGAGCGGCCGAUGGCAGACUAGGUAGUUGGUGGGAUAAAAGCUUACCAAGCCGACGAUCUGUAGCUGGUCUGAGAGGACGACCAGCUACACUGGGACUGAGUCAGGGCCGAGACACCUACGGGAGGCAGCAGUGGGGAGUUUUGGACAAUGGGCGAAAGCCUGAUUCAGCCAUGCCGCGUGCAGGAUGAAGGCCUACGGGUUGUAAACUGCUUUUGUACGGAACGAAAAGACUCUGGUUAAUACCUGGGGUCCAUGACGGUACCGUAAGAAUAAGCACCGGCUAACUACGUGCCAGCAGCCGCGGUAA